rnacentral:lncRNA from 1 species
AUAAAUUGCCUCUAUUUUAACCAUAUUUGGGUCAUUUGAUGCAUAGAUGAAACCAUGUCUUUACAUUAACUUGUUAAUCCAUUUGCUUAUUGUUACUAACUACUAAUUACUAACUCCUAAUAUUUAUAUUAUUGCAAUUUAUUUUAUUGUUCAUUUUAUUUCAUUUACUUUAUGUUUAUGUUCACUAACUACUAACUUCUAACAUUUAUAUUA